GGUUCCCUACGGGGCGCAGCAGUAGGGAAUCUUCCACAAUGGGCGAAAGCCUGAUGGAGCAACGCCGCGUGGGUGAAGAAGGUCUUCGGAUCGUAAAACCCUGUUUUUAGAGAAGAAAGUGCGUGAGAGUAACUGUUCACGUUUCGACGGUAUCUAACCAGAAAGCCACGGCUAACUACGUGCCAGCAGCCGCGGUUAUACGUAUGUGGCAAGCGUUAUCCGGAUUUAUUGGGCGUAAAGGGAAC
rnacentral:rRNA from 1 species